UAUUAUUACUCCGUUGAUAUCUUCUCGUUGUCGUAUCUGCUUCUUUUCCAUAUCUCCAUUAUUGCUUCUUAUCUUGUAUUUUCCAGCUGGCGUUCUUGUCUACUUGGUUGAUUUUUCUUCUAUUCUAGCUGAACUUCUGGGAUAUCAUUAUCUCCUCCAUUACAUUUUGAACAUUUAUGAUCUGGAUAUUUAUGUCCAAUUAUCUUGCAAUAU
rnacentral:lncRNA from 1 species